CCACACCCGAGCUCAGAAGCAGAGGACCUGAGCAGAGGACGGUGUGGACGGUGCAAUGGUGCCAGGGGUAACUUCAUGGCCCAGGCUCCCCACUGCUGAAGCCGCAGCAGCUGGCCGGGUUCUCAGUCUCGGGUGUGGCAGCCCCAGGCAUCUGGAGCCCCCUGCAUGCUGAUAUCAGCCUCGGGACCGCAGAAGGCCUCCCGCACUGCUCAGGAGGGAGGCUGGUCACCGAGUCUCAGGAGGAGAAGCAGCCCAGGGAAGACAGGGCAAAGUUGGGGCACCGCCAGCUGGAUGCUCGGUGAGAAGCGUCUCUUAGCAGUCGG